CUACCCGGGUUUCUAAUCCCGUUUGCUCCCCUGGCUUUCGCACCUCAGCGUCAGAAAUCAACCAGUGCACCGCUUUCGCCGCCGGAGUUCCUCCCGAUAUCAACGCAUUUCACCGCUCCACCGGGAAUUCCAUGCACCCCUUUGAUCCUCAAGCAACGCAGUACUGGACGCAGUUCCUCGGUUAGGCCGAGGGAUUUCACAUCCAACUUACGCCGCCGCCUACGUGCGCUUUAUGCCCAGUGAUUCCGAACAACGCUCGCCACCUUCGUCUUACCGCGGCUGCUGGCAC
rnacentral:rRNA from 1 species